CACGUAGUUAGCCGUGGCUUUCUAAUAAGGUACCGUCAAGGUACAGCCAGUUACUACUGUACUUGUUCUUCCCUUACAACAGAGUUUUACGAUCCGAAAACCUUCUUCACUCACGCGGCGUUGCUCCAUCAGACUUUCGUCCAUUGUGGAAGAUUCCCUACUGCUGCCUCCCGUAGGAGUCUGGGCCGUGUCUCAGUCCCAGUGUGGCCGAUCACCCUCUCAGGUCGGCUACGCAUCGUCGCCUUGGUGAGCCGUUACCUCACCAACUAGCUAAUGCGCCGCGGGCCCAUCCUAUAGCGAUAGCAGAACCAUCUUUCAUCAUUUCAACAUGUGAUGAAAUGAAUUAUUCGGUAUUAGCCCCGGUUUCCCGGAGUUAUCCCCAACUAUAGGGCAGGUUGCCCACGUGUUACUCACCCGUCCGCCGCUAACCUUCAGAAGCAAGCUUCUAAAGGUCCGCUCGACUUGCAUGUAUUAGGCACGCCGCCAGCGUGUCCUGUAGCGACGAGUCAA
rnacentral:rRNA from 1 species